UACGGAGGGUGCAAGCGUUAUCCGGAUUUACUGGGUUUAAAGGGUGCGUAGGUGGGUAGGUAAGUCAGUGGUGAAAUCUUCAAGCUUAACUUGGAAACUGCCAUUGAUACUAUUUAUCUUGAAUACUUUGGAGGUAAGCGGAAUAUGUCAUGUAGCGGUGAAAUGCUUAGAUAUGACAUAGAACACCAAUUGCGAAGGCAGCUUACUACACAGUUAUUGACACUGAGGCACGAAAGCGUGGGGAGUCAAACAGG
rnacentral:rRNA from 1 species